AGCAGUGUGGCUCAGUGGAAAGAGCCCGGGCCUUAGGAGUCUGAGGUCAUGGGCUCGAAUCCAGGCUCUGCCA
rnacentral:tRNA from 1 species